GAUGAACGCUGGCGGCGUGCCUAAUACAUGCAAGUAGAACGCAGUUGCGAACGGGUGAUUAACGCGUAGGUAACUGCCUGGUAGCGGGGGAUAAAUAUUGGAAACGAUAGCUCAUACCGCAUACUACCAGAUGGACCUGCGUUGUAUUAGAUAGUUGGUGGGGUAACGGCUCCCCAAGGCAACGAUACAUAGCCGGCCUGGGAGGGUUAGUGGCCACAAUUGGACUGGGAAACGGCCCAGACUCCUACGGGAGGGAGCAGUAGGGAAUCUUCGGAAAUGGGGGGAACCCUGACCGAGCAACGCCGCGUGAGUGAAGAAGGUUUUUGGAGCGUAAAGCUCUGUUGUUAAGGAAGCGGUACUUAACCAGAAAGGUACGGCUAACUACGUGCCAGCAGCCGCGGUAAUUC
rnacentral:rRNA from 1 species